ACCUGGAAGUCAAGGUGGGAAAUAAACAAAACAAAUGAGGGCAUGAGACGGACAGUGGUUACAGUGAAGAGCCUAUUGAAACAAUUCAGUUUCCCAAGGUGUGUUUCCUUUGCCUGGUUAUCGAGUUACCCCAUGUGGAUUUUGAGAUUCAUAGCCUCUUAUGUGAAUGAAUGGCUGUCAUCCAGAGAUAUAAAAUAUCAAGACGUCUGUUCAAAGACCACACUUGGACUGGUAAGAGUGCUACAGUUGCCUGUGUGAACCUCAAGAGCUGGAGCAUUCUGGAGCAAAUUCACAAACAGAGGAGUGUCAUAUGAAUAUCGCCUAAACCAUUUGUAACAUGGGAUUUUCCAAAGAUGGGAUCAUAAACUCCAGAAGAUAUAUGUCAGCUGUCACUCCUAUCUUUUGUUCCCUACAUUGUGCAUUUUUAAUAUAAACAAAAUAUUUUCCUCAGAGGUGACUGGGUAAUUGUUUUGGUGGUUACAUAAUUUUAUAUCUUAGUUAUGAAAUAUUUAUGCAUGCAACUCAAGUUAUCUGUUAUAAAAGGAAACUAUUUAACCAUAGUGGACUAAUGGUACAUAGGGAAAAUGGGUGUCAAAAGGAAAUUUAUUAUAUCUUCCAAGUAC